rnacentral:rRNA from 1 species
CUGCUUUUGUACGGAACGAAAAGGUCUCUGUUAAUACCAGGGGCUGAUGACGGUACCGUAAGAAUAAGCACCGGCUAACUACGUGCCAGCAGCCGCGGUAAUACGUAGGGUGCGAGCGUUAAUCGGAAUUACUGGGCGUAAAGCGUGCGCAGGCGGUCUUGUAAGACAGAUGUGAAAUCCCCGGGCUCAACCUGGGAACUGCAUUUGUGACUGCAAGGCUAGAGUGCGGCAGAGGGGGAUGGAAUUCCGCGUGUAGCAGUGAAAUGCGUAGAUAUGCGGAGGAACACCGAUGGCGAAGGCAAUCCCCUGGGCCUGCACUGACGCUCAUGCACGAAAGCGUGGGGAGCAAACAGGAUUAGAUACCCUGGUAGUCCACGCCCU